UACGUAGGGGGCAAGCGUUGUCCGGAUUUAUUGGGCGUAAAGAGCUCGUAGGCGGUUUGUCGCGUCUGCUGUGAAAACUCGGGGCUUAACCCUGGGCCUGCAGUGGGUACGGGCAGACUAGAGUGCGGUAGGGGAGACUGGAAUUCCUGGUGUAGCGGUGAAAUGCGCAGAUAUCAGGAGGAACACCGAUGGCGAAGGCAGGUCUCUGGGCCGAUACUGACGCUGAGGAGCGAAAGCGUGGGGAGCGAACAGG
rnacentral:rRNA from 1 species